AUUAGCUUGAAUGCCAGGGAGCCGCUCGUUUUGAAAUGGUAUCGUUUGCUCAUGAAUCCACUUCCAUCACACUAAGUUAUUUCAUCUUUUAAGUUUUAUUACUUUUUACCAGCAGAUACUAAGUGAAGCUACUUCAUUUGAAGGUGUUUUGUUGUCAUAGGACGGGUUCAGUUACUUUGUGAUGGCACGCACUAUUUUGGCUGAUAACGUCGAAGCGUGGCUUCAUUUUUUGUCUCUCCAAUUUUUUCAAACAAUUUGUUUUGUGACGUUCCACAAGAACAUCUAUUUUACAGACGGUUGAUACCAACAUGGAAUGGACUGAAAAGGUGAAGCAAAGGCCCACCAUGCUCCUACCUGCUGACUGACGUGUUGGUGGUGGACUUGUGGAGAACUUGGACAAAAUGGAAGAAGAUUCUGGGUUGACAUUUUGGAGCGAAGGCUGACCAUGCUCACCUCCUGAUUGAUGUGGGACUUGUGUCGAAUUGGACAAAUUGGAGAAGAUUCUGAAAAUGGUGGAACAGGCCGAGAACAUGUAAAGGCGUGGUGGCAUUGAUUUUGUUCUCUGGAUGUCAAAUGGACUUUUACAUGAUGGACUGCUGUUAAACUGAAUUUAUAUUUGUAGCAACAGUCUGUAAAUAUUCCAAAUAUGAAGGAGUUAAAAUUCAUGAAUUGUGUCAAGCUAUGUUUGUUUGGAUUAAACCUCUUUUUUUUUGUUUAAACAAAACGGUGGUCUGGUUCCUGGCAAGUACUGGCUGUCUAGUACAGUGAUUCCCAAACAGUGUGCUGUGGUACAUUAACGUGCUGUGGGAGGUUACCCAAUUUUAUGUAAUUGCUAAAAAAAAAAAAAAAUUAUUCCAAGAAAUAAUGUAUUCACUAUUUAUGCCAGUGAGGCACAAUGACAGAACAAAAAAAA